rnacentral:rRNA from 1 species
UACGUAGGGUGCAAGCGUUGUCCGGAUUUAUUGGGCGUAAAGAGCGUGUAGGCGGCUUUGCAAGUCCGUUGUGAAAACUCGAGCUCAACCUCGAGACGCCGGUGGAAACUGCAAAGCUAGAGUCCGGAAGAGGAGAGUGGAAUUCCUGGUGUAGCGGUGAAAUGCGCAGAUAUCAGGAAGAACACCCGUGGCGAAGGCGGCUCUCUGGGACGGUACUGACGCUGAGACGCGAAAGCGUGGGGAGCGAACAGG